CAGUCAUACCAACGGGAAAUCAACCUUUUGAGCUUGGUCUCGUGGGUUUUGAAGUAGGUUUCAAAGCCUUCGGAUUCGCGGGAUUGUGGGAUCUCUUCGGUGUACUUGCCUGUGU
rnacentral:rRNA from 1 species